rnacentral:rRNA from 1 species
UCCGGUUGAUCCUGCCGGACCCGACUGCUAUCAGAAUAGGACUAAGCCAUGCGAGUCAACGUAGCAAUACGUGGCAUACGGCUCAGUAACACGUAGUCAACAUGCCCAGGGGACGUGGAUAACCUCGGGAAACUGAGGAUAAACCGCGAUAGGUCAUAGUAUCUGGAAUGAUUUAUGGCUUAAAUCUAUAUGGCCCCUGGAUUGGACUGCGGCCGAUCAGGCUGUUGGUGAGGUAAUGGCCCACCAAACCUAAAACCGGUACGGGCUCUGAGAGGAGAAGCCCGGAGAUGGGCACUGAGACAAGGGCCCAGGCCCUAUGGGGCGCAGCAGGCGCGAAAACUCUGCAAUAAGCGAAAGCUUGACAGGGUUAUUCUGAGUGAUUUCCGCUAAGGAAAUCUUUUGGCACCUCUAAAAAUGGUGCAGAAUAAGGGGUGGGCAAGCCUGGUGUCAGCCGCCGCGGUAAUACCAGCACCCCGAGUGGUCGGGACGAUUAUUGGGCCUAAAGCAUCCGUAGCCGGUUCUACAAGUCUUCCGUUAAAUCCACCUGCUCAACAGUUGGGCUGCGGAGGAUACUAUAGAGCUAGGAGGCGGGAGAGGCAAGCGGUACUCAGUGGGUAGGGGUAAAAUCCGUUGAUCCAUUGAAGACCACCAGUGGCGAAGGCGGCUUGCCAGAACGCACUCGACGGUGAGGGAUGAAAGCUGGGGGAGCAAACCGGAUUAGAUACCCGGGUAGUCCCAGCUGUAAACGAUGCAGACUCGGUGAAGAAUAGGCUUCGUGCCUAUUCAGUGCCGCAGGGAAGCCGUUAAGUCUGCCGCCUGGGGAGUACGGUCGCAACACUGAAACUUAAAGGAAUUGGCGGGGGAGCACCACAAGGGGUGAAGCCUGCGGUUCAAUUGGAGCAACGCCGGAAAUCUUACCGGGGGCGACAGCAGAAUGAAGGUCAAGCUGAAGACUUUACCAGACAAGCUGAGAGGAGGUGCAUGGCCGUCGCCAGCUCGUGCCGUGAGGUGUCCUGUUAAGUCAGGUAACGAGCGAGAUCCCUGCCUCUAGUUGCUACCAUUGCUCUCAGGAGUAGUGGGGCUAAUUAGAGGGACUGCCGUCGCUGAGACGGAGGAAGGAGGGGGCUACGGCAGGUCAGUAUGCCCCGAAACCCUCGGGCCACACGCGGGCUGCAAUGGUAAGGACAAUAAGUUCCUAUUCCGAAAGGAGGAGGUAAUCUCCAAACCUUACCUCAGUUAUGAUUGAGGGCUGAAACUCGCCCUCAUGAAUAUGGAAUCCCUAGUAACCGCGUGUCAUUAUCGCGCGGUGAAUACGUCCCUGCUCCUUGCACACACCGCCCGUCGCUUCAUCGAAGUUGGUUCUUGGCGAGGUUGUGUCUCAUUGGCACUAUCGAACCUGGGGUCAGCAACGAGGGAG